rnacentral:rRNA from 1 species
AUGUGACCUCAAAUCAGGUAGGACUACCCGCUGAACUUAAGCAUAUCAAUAAGCGGAGGAAAAGAAACUAACAAGGAUUCCCCUAGUAACUGCGAGUGAAGCGGGAAAAGC